rnacentral:rRNA from 1 species
ACACGUAGGGGGCGAGCGUUGUUCGGAAUUACUGGGCGUAAAGGGCAUGUAGGCGGUUUUGUAAGACUGGCGUGAAAGGCUGCAGCUUAACUGUAGCACUGCGCUGGUAACUACAAGACUUGAGUCACGGAGAGGGAGCUAGAAUUCCAGGUGUAGGGGUGAAAUCUGUAGAUAUCUGGAAGAAUACCAGUGGCGAAGGCGAGCUUCUGGCCGAUGACUGACGCUGAGGUGCGAAAGCGUGGGUAGCAAACAGGAUUAGAUACCCUGGUAGUCCACGCGGUAAACGAUGCACACUAGGUGCUGGGGCGGACGCUUCAGUGCCGGAGUUAACGUGGUAAGUGUGCCGCCUGGGGAGUAUGCUCGCAAGGGUGAA